UACAGAGGUCCCGAGCGUUGUUCGGAUUCACUGGGCGUAAAGGGUGCGUAGGUGGCAGUGAUGAUGUUGUAUGUGAAAGCUCAGGGCUUACCACCUAAAUGGCAUUGAAUACUACUGUGCUGGAGGUUUGGAGGGGGGACUGGAAUUCUUGGUGUAGCAGUGAAAUGCGUAGAUAUCAAGAGGAACACCAGUGGCGAAGGCGAGUCCCUGGACAACACCUGACACUGAGGCACGAAAGCUAGGGGAGCAAACAGG
rnacentral:rRNA from 1 species